AUUGAACGCUGGCGGCAGGCCUAACACAUGCAAGUCGAGCGGAUGAAGGGAGCUUGCUCCUGGGUUCAGCGGCGGACGGGUGAGUAAUGCCUAGGAAUCUGCCUGGUAGUGGGGGAUAACGUCCGGAAACGGGCGCUAAUACCGCAUACGUCCUGAGGGAGAAAGUGGGGGAUCUUCGGACCUCACGCUAUCAGAUGAGCCUAGGUCGGAUUAGCUAGUUGGUGGGGUAAAGGCCUACCAAGGCGACGAUCCGUAACUGGUCUGAGAGGAUGAUCAGUCAAAUGGGAACAGAGAAAGGGUCCAAAACCCUAGGGGAGGCAGAAGGGGGGAAGAUUGGAAAAGGGGGGAAAGCCUAACCCAGCAAGGCCGGGGGGGGGAAGAAGGUCUUCGGAUUGAAAAGAAAUUUAAGGUGGGAGGAAGGGCAGAAAGUUAAAACCUUGGUGUUUUGACUUUACAAAAAAAAAAAGCACCGGAUAACUUGGU
rnacentral:rRNA from 1 species